ACAGUACCAGCUGGUAUCCUACCUCUCUUACGUACCAACUGUGCUGAUCGAUGGGGAGGUGGUCGUGAAAAGCAACGAAGACAUGGCGAAGCUCCCGUUAGUGCUGUGUAAUAAACUCAACCACGUACCUCGUGUUCAGUCUUAUUGCCAGAAUUACAUGAAAACGCAAGUCAAAAACUGAAUGAAAACGGGAAAAAAAUGAACGGGUUGUCUGAGUUGAAAGGAUUUUGGGAAAAUUGUGUUUUGUUUGCUUUCAGGAAAUAAAGAUUUUGUCAUUGA